ACAUGUCAUCCAACCCAUACGCUCCCAUCACCUUCGCCCGAUCUCCGACCCGUUUACCUUCAUGAACGACCCGACGGUAACUCCGCUGUCAGAUAACCUCUUGAUGUCGGACCAGCGGCUAAUGCGCGUCUUGACAGCGAGAAGUGGGACUCAGACUUCCUUGAGUUAAACGGUGAACUUUGGCAACAGUUCGAAGCCGGAAAGCUUCGAGCUUUCGAUGGUUUUCUUGAGUUUUUCGGCAACCCUAGUCACCGAUGAUGAUGAAUAGAUUUUGUGUAGCUGGAAGUGAAUUGAACUCUUGGGUCAUCUUGGUUGAUUAGAACAAAGAGGCUGCUACUUUGGUUGGUCUUGUUACAGCAGCAACACAAAGCUCUGCUCAGAAAAGAAAUCCAGAAGUUUUAAAGGAUGGGACAUUUGAUGUAAAUGUUAGAGGAUAUGAAGGAUAAUUUCGGGCCCAAGUAAAGUUUCAUUUCAUCUUCCACGUCCUCCAUUUGGUUUCCGCAAAAGCAGAAAUGAGAAGCUGCUCAUAGUAGCUUUUGAUUUCCUGCUGUUAGCAGCAGUGCUUCUGCCCAAAAGCAGAAAUUUUGUAGUUUACCAAACAGCCUCCAGUCUGACUGGAAACACUUUUGGACUAAAAGCAGGUUCCUAAAGCAAUGCCAAACUGGGCCUUAGAAAAAGACAUCCAAAAGAGCAGCCAGAAAGUGGUAGGAAAAAGGCAAAAGAGUAGUCAGAAUCUGGAAGGAAAAAGGCAAGAGAGCAGCAACAAAUGGGUAGGAUAAAGGUAAAUACUGCUUUAGCUGUGAAGACAAAGAAUGCUUCAGUUCAGAAGACAAAGUAUGCUUCAGCUAUGAGGGAAAAGAAAGCAGAAUUCUUGUGUGACAUUGAGGGGUGCACCAAGAGUUUUGGCAUGAAAUAAGAGCUUAAUCUCCACAAGAAAAACAUGUGUCCAGUCAAGAGGUGUGGAGAGAAAUUCUUCUCGCACAAGUAUCUGGUGCAACAUUGUCGAGUUCACGAGGAUGAUCGUUCCCUUGGAAGGGAUGCAAGAUGACAUUCAAGUAGGCAUGGGCUCAAACUGAUCACAUUAGGGUACACACAGGUACCAGUCCCUACGUCUUUGCUGAGCUAGGGGGUGAGCAGAACUUCUGAUUUUUGUCAGAUUUCAGCCAUCAUAAGCAGAAGACUGGGCAUUCAAUAAAGAAAGGUAGGGGCGAUCGCGAUGACUUGAUGGUGGAAAGUGGAUGUAACAUAUAACAUGACUAAUGAAUCUGUUGUUCGAUUGACAAUAAGGUUAAGAUUUUCCUUGUAAUUGCUAUUUAGAAUGACAAUAAUUGAGAUUGAGAGAGAGAGAUUGCUCAUCUAUUGUGGUUUCUGCUAGAAGAUUAGGAUUGGAGGUCAAGAUAUGGUGGUGAGUUAGGUCAUCAAUGUCACUGCAAAUUAGUGUGAUAAAGAGGAAAACUUCUCUACUUUUUGAAGAAUAUGAGGUAUAAUUUUU